UACGUAGGGGGCAAGCGUUGUCCGGAUUUAUUGGGCGUAAAGAGCGUGUAGGCGGCCAGGUAGGUCUGAUGUGAAAACUCGAGGCUCAACCUCGAGAUUUCGGCGGAAACCAUCUGGCUAGAGUCCGGAAGAGGAGAAUGGAAUUCCCGGUGUAGCGGUGAAAUGCGCAGAUAUCAGGAGGAACACCGGUGGCGAAGGCGGGUCUCUGGGCCGAUACUGACGCUGAGGAGCGAAAGCGUGGGGAGCGAACAGG
rnacentral:rRNA from 1 species